rnacentral:rRNA from 1 species
AAUGCUUUACACAUGCAAGUCGAGCGGCAGCGCGGGGGCAACCCUGGCGGCGAGCGGCGAACGGGUGAGUAAUGUAUCGGAACGUACCCAGUCGUGGGGGAUAACUAUCCGAAAGGAUAGCUAAUACCGCAUACGUCCUGAGGGAGAAAGCGGGGGACCGAAAGGCCUCGCGCGAUUGGAGCGGCCGAUAUCGGAUUAGCUAGUUGGUGAGGUAAAGGCUCACCAAGGCGACGAUCCGUAGCUGGUCUGAGAGGACGACCAGCCACACUGGAACUGAGACACGGUCCAGACUCCUACGGGAGGCAGCAGUGGGGAAUUUUGGACAAUGGGGGCAACCCUGAUCCAGCCAUUCCGCGUGAGUGAAGAAGGCCUUCGGGUUGUAAAGCUCUUUCAGCAGGAACGAAACGGUGGUCCUUAAUACGGGCUGCUAAUGACGGUACCUGAAGAAGAAGCACCGGCUAACUACGUGCCAGCAGCCGCGGUAAUACGUAGGGUGCGAGCGUUAAUCGGAAUUACUGGGCGUAAAGCGUGCGCAGGCGGUUCUAUAAGACAGAUGUGAAAUCCCCGGGCUUAACCUGGGAACUGCGUUUGUGACUGUAGGACUCGAGUGUGGCAGAGGGGGGUGGAAUUCCACGUGUAGCAGUGAAAUGCGUAGAGAUGUGGAGGAACACCGAUGGCGAAGGCAGCCCCCUGGGUCAACACUGACGCUCAUGCACGAAAGCGUGGGGAGCAAACAGGAUUAGAUACCCUGGUAGUCCACGCCCUAAACGAUGCGAACUAGGUGUUGGGGAAGGAGACUUUCUUAGUACCGCAGCUAACGCGUGA